CCCUCAAGGCCCAAAAUGAUCAUUAAAAUUAGUUCGGGUUUAAACUGGAUCCUCAAUAAAUUUUUUGGAAAACAUGUAAAAUUUUCAAAGAACCAGGGGACACACGCCUGUGUGGCCAAGUCGUGUGGCUCACACGGCCAUGCGACACGCCCGUAUCCCAGGCCGUGUGAACAUUCGAUGAGAAGCACAUGGUCGUGCCCUAGCUCGUGUCCAUAACCGUGUAACUCUUUGACUUGGGUCACACGGC
rnacentral:lncRNA from 1 species